CUGGGAUGCUAAUUAAGAACAUCUUUUCCACAAAAGGACUCUGUCUCUUUAUUUUUUGUAGAGAAAUUUUCUCACUCACUCUAGGUCACCGUUUCUAGGCUCUCGGCCUCUUCUCUGCCGCUUCGUCGAUCUUCUUCUUUUCCUCCGAGCAAAGAAAGGUCGGCCUUUCCCUCCCGAUCCAUGGUCUUCACUCUCCCAUCGUUCGGGUUUUUCUUGUUCCGGACUGCGGCACUAGAGGUAGUAGCUGCGAUACUUAAAAAAAGGCUGCAUGGCAGCGAUGUAAGAGAGAGUGUUGCGUGCUGUAAUGCGGGGCUGUGGCGGAGAUGCUGCAGCGACGUAUUGCAUCGACACUAGAGGUCUCGCAAAUUGCGAUGCUGCUGGUGCUAUAUGCUAUGAAUUUCUUUUCUUGGUUCAUACAUUUAAUUUCAAUUAAAGGAGAACAGAAAAGGAAGGAAGAGACCGCAGCUAGACUUUUUUACUCUACAAUAAUGAAUUUGAUGGCCCAUAUCUAUUAAAGAUUGACGGUUAGGAUUAAAAGUUAAUAAAUAGUGUUGGUGCUAUGUGCUAUGAAUUUUUUUCUUGAUUCAUACAUUUAAUUUCAAUUAAAGGAGAACAGAUGAUGGAAAGUUGAGAUGGCA